AUAUCAAUAAGCGGAGGAAAAGAAACUAACAAGGAUUCCCCUAGUAACUGCGAGUGAAGCGGGAAAGGCUCAAAUUUAAAAUCUGGCAGCUUCGGUUGUCCGAGUUGUAGUCUGGAGAAGCGUUUUCUGUGCUGGACCGUGUACAAGUCUCUUGGAAUAGAGCGUCGUAGAGGGUGAGAAUCCCGUCUUUGACACGGACUCCCAGUGCUUUGUGAUGCGCUCUCAAAGAGUCGAGUUGUUUGGGAAUGCAGCUCAAAAUGGGAGUGGAUUC
rnacentral:rRNA from 1 species